rnacentral:rRNA from 1 species
UACGGGGGGGGCAAGCGUUGUUCGGAAUUACUGGGCGUAAAGCGCACGUAGGUGGCGACGUAAGUCGGGUGUGAAAGCCCCGGGCUCAACCUGGGAAUUGCAUUCGAGACUGCAUUGCUGGAGUACGGAAGAGGAAGGCGGAAUUCCCGGUGUAGCGGUGAAAUGCGUAGAUAUCAGGAGGAACACCGGUGGCGAAGGCGGGUCUCUGGGCCGAUACUGACGCUGAGGAGCGAAAGCGUGGGGAGCGAACAGG